rnacentral:lncRNA from 1 species
CUUGACAUGCCGCGAAUCCUCUUGAAAGAGAGGGGUGCAUUCGGGAACGCGGAUUUUAAUUUAAAGGUCAAUAUAAAAGCUAGCAAAUGAAAAAAACCAAAAUGAGUUUAUCUUGUGAAAAAAAGAACUUCUACUUAAUGUCAUAUCCAGCUCAAGUAAAAUCAUAAUAAUUAUUUAAACCAUAAGCUUUUGUAUCAAAAUCGAUAUCUUAGAUCUCAAAUGUUAACAAAAAUAAUGUUAACCAUGUCUUACUAUAAGUUAUCUUACAUUAAAAUAUAAUGAUGUUAUACAUAUUCAAUUCAAUAAUUACAAAUGUAAAGAUAAAAUCAUUUUGUUUCCCCCAAUUAAUGUUAGGGUGGCAGGCAUAUAUAUUAUUUUCAAUACUAGCAGUGCCUUCACAUGUAUCUAGACCUUGUUUUACACGGGUGGAGGUAAUUAGGUAAUGUAUGUGCAAAAUCCAUGGUGUUCAUCAUCUCCAUCACUAUACAACCAGUUGCUAACCCAAAGCGUUUUGGCAAAAUAAAUUUUGCUUCUUGCCAGCAAAAAAGGUUCCUUCCCCGACCUGCCGCUAUCACUUUAUUCGGACUUAUGGCUGCUGAGUAGUUCAUACCAUGAAAAAGUAUUAUCUUAUGCUUGGUGAAUAAUUAGCAUCUGAAAUGUAACUAAAAUUGCAAGCAAUAUAUUUUCAUAACCCCUGAUGAGGAAAAUAUGGUUGGAAGCAAGUAUUGAUGAUGCAGAAAUUUAUAUCAUAUCAAAUAUAUAUCAAUUAAACACAACUAACAAAACUUAUAUUGAGUUGCCCAAGAGAAAUAGGUACAAACUUCUAAAAUAUCUCGAAGAUAAUCUUCUAAACUUCUAUAAUCUUUUUAAAUAGUUGCAACUUAUUAUGCAAUUAAAUGUAAUUUUCAACAAUUUUUUUUAAAUUGCAUUUGUGAUUGCAUAUAUGGUUGCUAACAAUUGCACAUACAAUUGCAUCAUCUCAUUUAGAACAAUUUAUGUUGAUGCAACUCUCAUACUCCUUUCUAUUUUCAGGACAUAGUUGGUGCUUUUCCUCGGCUGUACUUCUCCAUUAGCUGAGCUAACUCUGCAUCAAACUCCUUAUCCAACUUUACAUUCUUCUCGCAGCGCUGCCUCUUCAACUCAACCUUCCUCUCUUCCCGAUAUUUUCGAAAUUUGUAUCUUUCUUCGGCAACUCAAUAUGGGUUUUCUUAGUUAUUUUCGAUUGAAUUUUUUAUUUUAGUUGAUUUUCUGGUUGUUAUAAGUUUCAACUGUUUGAAAAGCAACCAUGAAAUUAACUAAAAU